rnacentral:tRNA from 1 species
GAGAACGUGGUGUAAUCGGAAGAACACAUCGGUCUACGAAACCGAAGAUUGGGAGUUCAAAUCUCUCCGUUCUCGCCA